rnacentral:rRNA from 1 species
AUUGAACGCUGGCGGCAGGCUUAACACACGCAAGUCGAGCGGGGUGAUGGUGCUUGCACUAUCACUUAGCGGCGGACGGGUGAGUAAUGCUUAGGAAUCUGCCUAUUAGUGGGGGACAACAUCUCGAAAGGGAUGCUAAUACCGCAUACGUCCUACGGGAGAAAGCAGGGGAUCACUUGUGACCUUGCGCUAAUAGAUGAGCCUAAGUCGGAUUAGCUAGGUGGUGGGGUCAAGGCCUACCAAGGCGAAGAUGUGUAGCGGGUCUGUGAGGAUGAUCCGCCCAACUGGGACUGGGACACGGCCCAGACUCCUACGGGAGGCCGCAGUGGGGAAUAUUGGACAAUGGGGGGAACCCUGAUCCAGCCAUGCCGCGUGUGUGAAGAAGGCCUUAUGGUUGUAAAGCACUUUAAGCGAGGAGGAGGCUCUUUUGGUUAAUACCCAAGAUGAGUGGACGUUACUCGCAGAAUAAGCACCGGCUAGCUCUGUGCCAGCCGCCGCCGUAA